rnacentral:misc_RNA from 1 species
GAUGAAGAACGUAUCGAAAUGCGAUAAGUAAUGUGAAUUGCAGAAUUCAGUGAAUCAUCGAAUCUUUGAACGCACAUUGCGCCCGUCAGUAUUCUGGCGGGCAUGCCUGUUCGAGCGUCAUUACGCCCCUCAAGUCCCCUGUGGACUUGGUGUUGGGGAUCGGCGAGGCUGGUUUUCCAGCACAGCCGUCCCUUAAAUUAAUUGGCGGUCUCGCCGUGGCCCUCCUCUGCGCAGUAGUAAAACACUCGCAACAGGAGCCCGGCGCGGUCCACUGCCGUAAAACCCCCCAACUUUUUAUAGUUGACCUCGAAUCAGGUAGGACUACCCGCUGAACUUAAGCAUAUCAAUAAGCGGAGGA